rnacentral:rRNA from 1 species
AGCGAACGCUGGCGGCAGGCCUAACACAUGCAAGUCGAACGAAGUCUUCGGACUUAGUGGCGGACGGGUGAGUAACACGUGGGAACGUGCCUUUAGGUUCGGAAUAACUCAGGGAAACUUGUGCUAAUACCGAAUGUGCCCUUCGGGGGAAAGAUUUAUCGCCUUUAGAGCGGCCCGCGUCUGAUUAGCUAGUUGGUGAGGUAAAGGCUCACCAAGGCUACGAUCAGUAGCUGGUCUGAGAGGAUGACCAGCCACAUUGGGACUGAGACACGGCCCAACCUCCUACGGGAGGCAGCAGUGGGGAAUUUUGCGCAAUGGGCGAAAGCCUGACGCAGCCAUGCCGCGUGGAUGAUGAAGGUCUUAGGAUUGUAAAAUCCUUUCACCGGUGAAGAUAAUGACUGUAGCCGGAGAAGAAGCCCCGGCUAACUUCGUGCCAGCAGCCGCGGUAAAAC